UUACGCCAGAUUGGUUCUCUUUCACACGAGUGAGCAGGAGUAGUAACAGAAAGAUCCGGAGGCCAUCGGUAGAGACGCGUCCAAGUUACCUUUUGGCUACUGCCGCUGCUUUUGAAGCACAAGUACGCAAUAUGAUGUCAACGGGCAGACGCGCUGCUCGUAGAAGGGAAGGCAGUCAUCGGUUCGCGUACGACCAGAAACAUAUACAGCAAACGCUAGUGGACAGAAGUCAACCCUUCGGCCAAUAGAAUCAAACCGAUCCGGUCCCUUUUCCUAGCGGCAAUUCACUCGAUUCGCAGGCUGAAAGACGUAAUCAUCUCACGCGCAAAAAAAACAAUUGCCUUCGCCAGGCAUAAUUAGCUUGUUCGUGAUGAGCAUCUCCCGUUAGUCUAAGCGUCGUACCCACAAGAAUAAACUCGCACACUCACACAACAAAGUGACAUCCGGCGGAUAGCGCAGAACGGCCCACGUCAGGUAAACGAUCAUAUUCACUACUUCCUCUAAUAGAUCUGACAAUAGCACAAGAACAGAGCUAACCCAGAAAACGGCUCUCAUUGUAUGAUAACCUAAGAUCAAAAACACUCAGAAGGCUGGUAGAGUCUUCGAUCUAAUGCAGGUAUACGAAGUGCUACGCUCAGCAUGGCAAAUUUACGCCUGACAGGUUGGAUGUUUACCACAGCUUUUAACGAAGAUGUUUACUGCUACCAUUUAAAAUCGUAAUCAAGAUUUUUUUUUUUACAUGAAAUGUCAUUUCUUGCUGAAACUGGCCACUUUCUCGAUAUUUCUCAGAUUUUUUUGGCGCGGCUAAAAUGCAGAUGGACCUCAGAUCGCACAUAACGAAACGAAGGCCGUGUCGAUCCACUUCUGCGACGUUCCUCUCUGUUUUUAUAACCGGGCCCGUUUGAAGUUGAUUGCAGGUCACAGAGUCUGCAGGCGAGGACUCUAAACAACCAAGCGAAGGAAAAAUGGGCUUUUUAGGCGUGUGUUUCUUCUCAGCUUUGCCUUCACCAACGAAGGCAGGGGGACAUAUACCCUUUGGAAACGACAGAUAGAUGCUUCUCGACUACUGUUAAUUGAGGGACCCAUCAGUUUAGCGUUGGACAGUAUUGACAAUAUUUCUUUCCUCAUAGGAAUAAUUUUGAUGUAAAAUAUGAUUGUAAGUAUAACAUGCAGUAAGUUACAAUCGAAGGGAAGAAGGUAGUUCGUUUAACUUGUAGUUCUAAGACGAUAGAAACAAAUAUAACUGAAGAACACCGAAGAACGCUUUUAUUUUUCAUAAUUUUCAAAGGAAGAGAGAAUGUAUUUAAAGCGAGACAAACAUUACCGUUAAAUAUAUCCAUACGUACUCAUCAAUAAAUAAAUUUCGAUGUUCUGUGUUCAUACAAACGAGGCAAUCAAAUAGACGCGUUUAAUAAUCAGUUAAGGCAGCUUUGUUCGUGUGUAGGUAGAAAU